UACGGAGGGUGCAAGCGUUAUCCGGAUUCACUGGGGUUAAAGGGUGCGUAGGUGGGCAAGUAAGUCAGUGGUGAAAUCUCCGGGCUUAACCCGGAAACUGCCAUUGAUACUAUUUGUCUUGAAUACUGUGGAGGUCAGCGGAAUAUGUCAUGUAGCGGUGAAAUGCUUAGAUAUGACAUAGAACACCAAUUGCGAAGGCAGCUUACUACACAGUAAUUGACACUGAGGCACGAAAGCGUGGGGAUCAAACAGG
rnacentral:rRNA from 1 species